rnacentral:piRNA from 1 species
UGCAGGGCGAGUAGAGAAAGGCAU